GAGAGGCGGGACUUGAUUAUACCACGUGAUCAUCCUCGCGGACAGCGCGGCUGUGCGGGCGGAGAGCUGUCGAUCCCAGUGAUUAAUGCCAAAGCCCUGUUGCCUGGGGAGAGGGUGAUGUUUGACUUUCUUGUACAGCUGCAGUUUGUGUGGUGAAGGUGCUCCCACAAUGUGGUUGGGAUGAGGCUGUCACUGGCUCGGCCAGCAUUUAUUGCUGCGUUUACCCAGAGGGCAGUUAAGAGUCAACCACGUUGCUAUAGGUCUGGAGUCCCAUGCAGACCAGACCAGAUCCCAGUGAUCAGUGCCAAAGCCCCAUUGCCUGUGGAGAGGGUGAUGUUUGAUUUCCCUGUCCAGCUGCAGUUCAUGUCGUGAAGGUGCUCCCACAAUGUGGUUGGAUAACAAGACCGAUGCUGUUUCCAAUCAUGAUCAGAAACAAACCUCAGAAUACACAUGGUUCAUAGAUGGAUGUCAAUAGCCCAUCAACAUCCAACUCCUGCAAUUAUUCAGCAAAUGUAUGUGUGAUUAACCAGUCCUGAUGUCAGUCCUGAUGUACCAGAAAAUCGCUGUUUACUCUGUGCAGAUGGGCAGUGAUGUGGGGAAGUAUUGGCCGAGUGAUAUUGUCGCUGGACAGUUAGUCCAAAGCCCCAGAUAAACUUCUGGAGACCUGAGUUCAAAGCCUACUGCUGCAGAUGGGUGAAUUUGAAUUAAAUUUUUAAAAACUCGGGAAUUUAAGAGUCUCAUGAUGACCAUUAAUCGAUUUUCCGAAAAACCCAUCUGGAUCACUAAUGCCCUUUCAGGAAGGAAGCUGCCAUCCUUACCUGGUCUGGCCUACAUUGUGACUUCAGACCCACAACAAUGUGGUCGACUCUUACCUGCCCCCUGGGCAAUUAGGGAUGGGCAGGAAAUGCUGCCGGGCCAGCGACACCCUCAUCUUGUGAAUGAAUAAAGGAAAAUAAAAGUCUCUACCCAGUGUGAA